UCUCCCUCUCUCUCUCUCUCUCUCUCUCUCUCUUUAGAUCUAUGAAAUCAAUGUUUUGAAGGCAUUCUUACUUGAUCCUCAUUUGCAGAGAUUCAGAGAGAGGCAUUCUGACUUGAUCCUCAUUUACUGAAAUCAAUGUUUUAAGGAAUUCUUACUUGAUCCUCAAGCUCCAAUGGCUGCAAAUAGUCUGCUUUGUUUUUGAACUUUAAUCGCUCCGACCAUUCUUUUAGUGAAAAUGAGCAAUCAAGCUCUAGUGGUUCUAGUUCAGAUGAGACUCAAGCCACACUCAAGAUGAGAGUCAUACCCGAUCCACCCGCAUCAUGGCAUCCACUGGACAGUCUUCUUACCACAUCACGUAACGGUAGUACAUCACAUGGCUCUGUUUCAGCUGGUUAGAUCUGUAACUAUAUGGGAAUUCUGGGCCAAAACAUGAACUUUCUAUGAACUGUCUAUGAAGAUAGGUAAAGUUUGAAAGUUCAAGGAGAGUAUCAGUAUUCAAACUUCAAAUGCUGAUAAUACUCUUUCCACUUUGCUGGAAGAAGUGCAAUGAAAUACACUUUACACUACCAGCUCCAACCACUACCCACCACUAGCUCCGGUCAACCCUUUCCACUUUACCUGUAUUAUUUUUGAUAACAUUGCUACAUACUUGAACGCUUAUAAACAAAAUCUUUUUAACAUGUUUCUCAAUUGAUUUUCAAGUGGCAGUGGAUUUUCUUAAAUUUAUUUUUAUUCUUUUUGGUUAUGAGGAAAGCAAAAAGAAGGAAAUGUAUUGGAAAACAGGGACACUCUGUACUGUUCAUCUGUGUUGCCAUGUUCAGUUGCUAUGAUAUUGUUAUCUAGCUUUGUUUAGGAGACCUUCUGAGAUUUAGAUCAACCCUCUCCUACUGCAUGCUGCUUUUUCCCAUAGAUCUGUCACUCUGCUUCAUUUCUCUCUGCAAACAAAUCUUGAUCAAAUUUUCAGUGGUUUGGUUAACCUAACAGGUUAUCACCAAGGUUUACUGUAUGUAUGUAGUCUAGUUUUGAAGGACAUUUGGACUGCAAAUGGCUAAUUUUGCUUUUGGUUCUCUUUGAAGACUAAUUCCUCGAUUGAUUGACUUUUAGCUCUUAUAAUUGAAGCCAUGUUUAUAUUAUUAAGAACUUGGACUAUUAUUAAGAACUUGUGAUAAAAUUGUAGCAGUAGCAGGAUGCUUACAUGUGCUUCAUGUGCACUAAUCACACCAAUUUUCAAUUUCAUGACAGUUUACUUUAUGACAUCUGAGAUUGAGUAAUAGUUGUUUUGUUUAGUCUUGACAUUGGAUUGGAACAAUUUCCUUUAAAUUUCCAUCGUCAAUCUACAGCUUCUGUAUGAUAUUGAUUACUUUCUUGUUUUCUUUUUCCUUCUAAGAUGCC